UACGUAGGGCGCAAGCGUUGUCCGGAAUUAUUGGGCGUAAAGAGCUCGUAGGCGGCCUGUCGCGUCCGCUGUGAAAUCCCGGGGCUUAACCCCGGGCGUGCAGUGGAUACGGGCUGGCGUAGAGGCAGGCAGGGGAGAACGGAAUUCCCGGUGUAGCGGUGAAAUGACGCAGAGUAUCGGGAGGAACACCGGUGGCGAAGGCGGGUCACUGGGCCGAUACUGGACGCUGAGGAGCGAAAGCGUGGGGAGGCGA
rnacentral:rRNA from 1 species